rnacentral:rRNA from 1 species
AGAGUUUGAUCCUGGCUCAGGACGAACGCUGGCGGCACGCUUAACACAUGCAAGUCGAACGAGAGAAGAGAAGCUUGCUUUUCUGAUCUAGUGGCGGACGGGUGAGUAACACGUGAGCAAUCUGCCUUUCAGAGGGGGAUACCGAUUGGAAACGAUCGUUAAUACCGCAUAACAUAAUUGAACCGCAUGAUUUGAUUAUCAAAGAUUUAUCGCUGAAAGAUGAGCUCGCGUCUGAUUAGCUAGUUGGUAAGGUAACGGCUUACCAAGGCGACGAUCAGUAGCCGACCUGAGAGGGUGACCGGCCACAUUGGGACUGAGACACGGCCCAGACUCCUACGGGAGGCAGCAGUGGGGAAUAUUGCACAAUGGAGGAAACUCUGAUGCAGCGAUGCCGCGUGAGGGAAGAAGGUUUUAGGAUUGUAAACCUCUGUCUUCGGGGACGAAAAAAGACGGUACCUGAGGAGGAAGCUCCGGCUAACUACGUGCCAGCAGCCGCGGUAAUACGUAGGGAGCGAGCGUUGUCCGGAAUUACUGGGUGUAAAGGGAGCGUAGGCGGGAUCGCAAGUCAGAUGUGAAAACUAUGGGCUUAACCCAUAAACUGCAUUUGAAACUGUGGUUCUUGAGUGAAGUAGAGGUAAGCGGAAUUCCUAGUGUAGCGGUGAAAUGCGUAGAUAUUAGGAGGAACAUCAGUGGCGAAGGCGGCUUACUGGGCUUUAACUGACGCUGAGGCUCGAAAGCGUGGGGAGCAAACAGGAUUAGAUACCCUGGUAGUCCACGCCGUAAACGAUGAUUACUAGGUGUGGGGGGACUGACCCCUUCCGUGCCGCAGCAAACGCAAUAAGUAAUCCACCUGGGGAGUACGACCGCAAGGUUGAAACUCAAAGGAAUUGACGGGGGCCCGCACAAGCAGUGGAGUAU